rnacentral:lncRNA from 1 species
AUGGCCGCACCCAUGGCAUAUGGAAGUUCCUGGACUAGGGACUGAAUCUGAGCCGCAGGUGCGGCAGAGCCAGAUCCUUUAACCCACUGUGCUGGGCCGGGGAUAGAAACCGAGCCUCUACAGUCAGAUUCUUAACCAACUGCACCACAGUAGGAACCCCAACAUUCGACAUUUGAUGGUGCAGAUACCUCCUUCUUCCUUCAGUGUAAAUAUUCUAAUACAAAUAUUUUUAUUAAUUGCCCCCCGCCAAAAAACAACAAAAAACCAAAAAGCACAAUAAAAAAAUUGGACCUUACCAAACCACCUGUAGGGCUUGCUUGCCCCUCUGGUACACUCUUCCACCCUGUGUCUUGCCUUGGUAAUGCCUGAUGGGUCACCCGAUAGGCUUCAACCUAGACAUCACACAUUUCUUCAGGAACCUUCCCUUCCACUAUGCUCCUGUCACCAGGGGUGUAGUACUAGGGGAAUCACACCUGAUAGCAAUUGCUCAUUUAUUUAGUACCCUCCAGCAUAUACAUUAAAUACAUCUGUAAGUACUUGCUGACUAUUCCACUAGGUAAUAGGCACCACCCAACCUGGGAAAGAUGAUUGGUGCCUUCCCCGUAGAGCCUAGUCCAAGCUUUUGUUUUGUUUGUCCUUUUAUAGCCACACCUAUGGCAUAUGGAAGUUCCCAGGUGCAGCCCUAAAAGGACAAAAGACCAAAAAUAAAUAAAUCAACUGCAGCUUGUGUUAAGCUUAAUCCACUGAGCAAGGCCAAGGGUUGAACCUACAUCUUCACGGACACUUUGUGGGGUUCUUAACCCACUGAGCCACAAGAGGAACUCCUUGUUUUGUUUUUAAAUGGCUUUAUUGAGAUUUAGUCCAUGGACUAUGCAAUUCACCCAUUUAAGAUGUAAAAUUUGGGAGUUCCUGGGUGGCACAGUGGGUUAAGGAUUUUGCGAUGUCAUUGCUAUGGCUUGUAUUACCGCUGUGGCGCAGGUAAGAUCCCUGGCCCAGGAACUUCUGCAUACUGCAUGUAUAUGGCCAAAAAUAAAUAAAUAAAAUGUACAAUUUAGUGGCUUUUAGUAUAUUUACAAAGUUCAUCACCACAAUCAGUUUUAAAGUUUUCAUCAACCCCAAAAGAAACUUCGCACUCCUUAGGUAUCAUCGCUGGGGCCUCUGCAUCCCCUUCCCUUCCCCAUCACCCAGCCCCUGAGGUAACCACCAAUCUAGUGUAACCACAGAUCCUAUAGAUUUGCCUAUUCUGGAUAUUUCUUAUGUGAAUCAGGUUAGGUCUUCCCCAUCUUACCCAGUUCUGAGAUUCUUCUAAGAACUUCCCUGGAGAUUCAAAUUCAGAGAUCAGAGAAUCUGGUGGGUUCCCCCCCCCCCCCCCCCCCCNUUUUUAGGGCCGCACCUGCAGCAUAUGGAAGUUCCCAGGCUAGGGGUUUGAAUCGGCGCCACAGCUGCUGGACCACAGCACAACCACAGCCACGUGAGAUCCGAGCCAUGUCUUCCACCUACACCACAGCUCACAGCAACUCCGAAUCCCCAACCCACUGAGUGAGGCCAGGGAUUGAACCUGCACCCUCAUGGAUCCUAGUCGGGUUCGUUAACCAAUGAGCUACAAAGGGAACUCUGGAAUCUGUAUUUUUAACAUGGGGUCUUCUCUAAAGAGUCAAUUCUCUAUUUAAUCAGACUGCAUCUGCCUUUACUGUCUCCAGCAACCAAGGCCAAAUGUAUAGUAGUUGUCAACAAAUAGCUUUUGAUGACUACCUCUAAAACUUAACACAAUCAAGCAUUUUGAGUAUGGCGAGUCCCCUUGUGGCUUGGCAGGUUGGGGACAAUAUAGGCAGGGAGGAGUGAGAUCAGACUAGUAGAGGAGGCAAAUUGAAUCCACAGAGGCCAAAGGUGGCAAUUAGAAAGGGGCUUGUGGAGUGGCUGAAGAGUUUGGGAUUUAUUACCUCUAGGGUACUGGAGAGUCAUCCAUGGGCUUGAAGCAGGGGAAUUAUGAGAUCACAUCUGGGCUGUGCAGUUGUGUAGGGGGAGGAGGCAGGAAGCAGUGAAGAGUCUAAAGAUGUGGUCAGAAGUGAUAGUGCCUGAGCCAGGUUGGAGGCAGUGGGGAUAGAGAGAUUAGAGUGAAGAGAUAUCCCAAAGGCAGAAUGGACAAUUUAGAGAUUGAUGGGAUGUGGGAGAUGAGAGAAUGAAG